rnacentral:rRNA from 1 species
AUUGAACGCUGGUGGUAGGCUUAACACAUGCAAGUCGAACGGUAACAGGAAUUAGCUUGCUACUUAGCUGACGAGUGGCGGACGGGUGAGUGAUGCUUGGCAAUCUGUCUUAUUUAGGGGGAGAUCUACUGGGAACUGUUGCUAAUAUCGCGCAAAAUCUCCGCAUUUAAGAGCGGGACUUUCUCGCCACCUGCCAUAAGGUGAGCCCAAGUGGGAUUAUGUAGUUGGUUAGGUAAAGGCUGACCAAGCCGACGAUCUCUAGCUGGUCUGAGAGGAUGACCAGCCACACUGGAACUGAGACACGGUCCAGACUCCUACGGGAGGCAGCAGUGGGGAAUAUUGCACAAUGGGGGGAACCCUGAUGCAGCCAUGCCGCGUGAAUGAAGAAGGCCUUCGGGUUGUAAAGUUCUUUCGGUGACGAGGAAGGUUGAUAGGUUAAUAGCCUAUCAAAUUGACGUUAAUCACAGAAGAAGCACCGGCUAACUCCGUG